ensembl:lncRNA
AAUGCCUCUGUCCCCAGGUGCCGUUCCCCCUGGCUUCUGAGAAUAUGGGAUAUAAACAUCCUGAAGGGCGAGCACGUGCUCCCGGCCAUGGCAUACACAGCCCUCAAGAUCCCAUAACAAGCGCCUGCUGAAGAUGCCCCGGGACCACCUCCGGGAGUUCCUGCAGGUGACCCUGAAGCAGGCCUGGUCUCUGAGCGAGGACGCGGUCAUCAGGCAGCUGCGGGCCUCCAUGCGUGAGCUGGGGAAGCUCCAGUGCCUCCUGCCUCCCGAAGCCAAGUCCAUCGAACAGUGCAGCAGGCCCCUGGGGCAGGCACGCGUCCCCCAGAUGCACGUUCCUGCCCCCACUGCUCCGAAGGCCAAAAUCACCAUUCAGGACACAGUGGCAGUGUGGGAGCAGACCAGGGGUCCCGCUACCCGUGCAGUGAUGAUCCGUCCUCCAGAAAGCUUUGGCCUCCGCAUCACCAAGAGGGAAGGCAUGGAGGAGGAGGAGAGCUGGGAAGGCAGCCCAGAGCCCCUCGGCCUGGGCUCCCCUGUGGGGACCGCAGAGUCUCUAGGUUCUGCCAGCCCCACGGAGUCUCCAAAGUGCUCGAGGUGGGGAGGCCUGUGCCAGUGCGCCAGUCUCCCUAACCUGAGCGGGCCAGAGCACAGGGAGGACGACUCCUCCGACGCUGGCAGCCGGGAGGGCCUGUGGAUGUGGGCUCCUCCACAGGCCUCGGAGCCCCCGGAACCAGGGCCCAUGCAGGCUGUCCCCGCCUGGGGGCCACAGCUGAAGACUCCCCCCUACUGGCAUGGCAGCCCCAUGCACUCUGGGGACAGUCACGGGCUGGAGCCGGCCAGAGCCAGCCCUGGGAUGGGAGACCAGGCCCGCGUGCCCUCCCUGGCCAGAGGCCUCCUUACCUCUUAUUCUGUGGGGCACCUGGAUGAUGGGUGCCUCCUAGAAGAGAGGCCGAGUCCAGCAUCUGUCCUGCCCAGGCUGGGCAGCAGCCUUCCGUGUGUCUUCACGGCAUCCUAUGCACUCGGUUGAGCCCCCACCGCCCAGGCUCUUCCUGGGGCCAGGACACCCUGACACUGGAAGACAACAGCCAUGCCAGGAGCCACUGUACUCUCCUCCCUGCCCCCUCCCCCACCGCCACCCUCAGGUGGUGCUGAGUCUGUAUUAAAUUGUUCCAUGGAAAGGAGUUUGCUCCAGUUUGUGACCCCGGUGCCCAGCGGCAGCAAGCUUCCCCGUGUUCCUGGAGAGCGUAGGCAGCUCCACAGCUCCCAGCCCCAGGCAGAGACCCGCUCAGGACCCUGCAGGCAAUGCCUGAGAUUCAGCUGUGCCCUGUGGGAACUGGGUCAGGGUGGGAGAGCAGCAGCUGUGAGUACCCGUGACCUCUGGGACAGAUCAGCACAAUAGGAACAGCCGUGGUUGGAGGGCCUGUGUCACCUCUGUGCUCUCCCCUAGACCUGGGCGGCCGUGGCUGCAGCAUCCCUGGCUUGACCCCACAUGUCUCUCACAGGUAUGGGAUACCUGUGUCACACUGUAUGUUCCAGGACCUCAGGAAGGAAUUAAAUUCCUGUGGUGUAUACGCUGGCCCGUUAUCAGUCUUUAUUUUCCAGGGGACACCGAGGACCAGCAGGGCUGACUUAACCGCCUUUAUCACAUUUCUAGCCUUUUCUCCGGAUUGGGCUGCUGCAAAUACAGCCUUUGAAUAAGUAUCUCCCACCACUUGGACAAACUUAAGUUGACCCAAGGAGUGAAUGUGGGUGAAGUCCACUUGCCAGAGCUUCUUAGGAGCAAGUCCUCGCGGGUUCACUCCUGCUUGUAGCAGUGGGGCUGACGGGGCGAGGGGGCACAAUUCUUGCAAGAGUGCACCAGGUGUUUGCAUUGGCUCAUUGUUAGCUCCGGGAAAAGUGAUUUUGUGUUGCUUUCUGCCAUAUGAAGUUUUUGGUGUAGAAUAGGGGCUUGUUCUAGGUGUCUGAUGGCAGCCAAGUUGCAGGAGAUAAGAUGAUCGACCUUUUCAUUGCCUUGGGAAACUCACAUAACAAGCAGCAAGUAUGACCUGCAAACCAGCGUAAGCACAGCAAUGGAGUUUUUUUUCUGAACUUGAGCCUUGAACCCCCUGGGCGGUUUAAAGGGCCCUGUGCCUCCAUCAGCACCAGCAGGUGGUAUCGGGAGAGAGGCAUCUCCCCAGACUGAGUUGUCCCGAGCCCUUCCAGCCCCUGAGGCUGCAGCCCUACAGGCCCACACGCCGGGUCACCAAGGGGCGGUGCUGCUCUGCCUAGACCCUCCAGAGAGCUCCCCCAGCCUCCGAUGCAGGAGCACAGUGUGUUGGCUCCAACAAGACGAGGGUGUCCAUGGAAACGCUAGCAGAAGCGAGCCCAAGACAGCUGCUUGUGCUCUUAUCUGGAACCCGGUGAGCAGCAAGAGGAGUAACUUAAUAUCGGGUUAUAACCAUGAAUAAAACCCCACAUGUGAGUGCA